rnacentral:misc_RNA from 1 species
GAUACAGCAAGAUACACAAACAGAAAAUCAGUGCUUUCAAACAAUUAGUGAAAAACAAUUUAGCUCCUCUGCAAAUAAGCUUUUGGUAUAGACAGUAAUCUUUUCACAUAAGAGCCAAGUUUAAGAAGUGUAAUUCUAAAUUUCAACCUAGAAGCACAAAGGAAACAUCAGAAAUUCGUGUUCAUCGAUAAAAUGUACCUUACAAGAUUGUGAUAAAUCACCUCAAGACCAAAAAAGCAAACCUUAG